UCAUGCGACUGACCGCCAUUUGGAUAGACGGUUCUAGAAUAUCAUUCAUUUGUAUCUCUCGCUCCUUCCGUCGACAGCCUGUCUUCUCCAUAUCUAUUUAUCUCGUGAUAUACACCAUAUUAAUGUGUUUUGCGUUUUUCACGCGAGAGACUUACAUACGCACACGCUCGCUAUCCCAGAGAAUUUUCUUAAGCGAGAACAUAAUUUAGGAACGCGUUUACACGCGUCGCUAAUUACCGCACCACGUUCGUGCUACAAAUUAGCAUCCUCCUCAGAGUUCGAGCGAACUUUUGCGAAAACGAUUAUCAUUCGUGCUUGUGGGUGACACCGCGAACGCACUUAGUGGUUCUCAACUUUUUCCGUCCUGUUUCCUGGUGUCCCGCUGUUGUCGCGUGAAUCUUUUAUACGUGUUCGUGCAACCCGCAUCCUUUGAUUGAUUUGAUAUAUCGCUUGCUUCUCUUACAAUACAAUGUUUUAGUGUUCACAACUAAUAUAACGAACUUGAUUAAUUUUAAAAGUUUGUCGAUCUUUUCCAUCUAUCCUCAAUUUUUUAAUUAGUUUUAGUCGUUUCUUUUACCAUUUUCUAAUUAAAAAAAAAAAAAAAAAAAAAAAAAAAAAAAAAAAAAAAAAAAAAAAAAAAAAAAAAAAAAAAAAGAGAGAAAGAAAGAAGAAAUGAAAACAUAAAGCAUCACAGAGACACAUACAGUGUGACAGAGAUGACAUUAUACAGUUCUAAAUAGAGAUACGCUACGUACACGCUACACGUGGUACGUUUGUCGCGUGACGAGAUGGUCCAAAAAGCUGCAGGUUUGUUUAGAGGACUUCGAUAUAGAGAAUCGGGGGUCAGCUCGUCCCUGCAACAAGUCGUACCGGUACAUAACGUAGGAACAUUAUACAUACGUUUUCUUUCUUUUCUUUUUCAAGAAUAUUAUUACUUAUAAAUACAUCAUUAUAUAUAUAUGAAGAAAGAACGAGAGCGUGAGCGAGAGAAUUUUGACGAAUGAAUAGGAGAUACUACUCUAAAUGAUGGAGAGAGCUGUUUUUAUAUAGUUUUAAUUGUGAAGAGAGGUAAAUUAAUGCGAGGAUUCAUGAACCAAUAUCUACGCACUUAAUUACCAACUAGCCGGCGAAUAUGAAGCCUCCUUUUCCCCCCUUCUGUCUACGAGAAAGUAUGUGGGUCCUGAUGCUGUGGGAUUACAAACAAAAAAGAACUCACAUAUUCAUUCAUCCGUUUUUAAUUAGUCGUUCUCAUACGAAUAUUCUAUAUAUAUUAUAUAUUAAUAUAUAUAAUAUAUAUAUAUAUGUAUAAAUACAUUAUAUAUAUAUAUAUUAUAUAUAGAGAGAGGUCGUUCUUUUUUCUUUUUUUUUUUUUUUUUGUCCGAUGGAAAUGGCGCCAAAAUACCUUCGUUUUACAAUGACGAAAAAGAAGCAAACUGAGAAAGAAAAAGCCACAUAAUGAAAAUUGAAGAUGGUGAAAACAGCAACAUUAAUAUUAUAAUUAAUAAUAAUUAUAAUAAAUACAAUAUUUGUACAAUAAUCAACGGUGCUGUGGUGGAUGCUGUAGGUCUAAAUCUGCGAUACCCUGUUAACCUAUCCCUGACCUAUUUGUAAACAAUUCCUGAACGUAUAAGUGAACGAACAAGAAAUUUCGCGGGUGCAUACUUUCUAAAAUUAUAACGAUGCCGAUACAUUUCGUUUUUUAUUUCCUUCGAUUUAAUGUUCCGAUUCAGGAGGUGAUGAUGAUGAUGAUGAUGAUGAUGAUGAUGAUGAUGAUGAUGAUGAUGAUGAUGAUGAUGUUGGCGAGGAUGAUGAUAAUGAUGAUGAUGAUGAUUGAUGAUGAUGAUGAUGAUUGAUGAUGAUGAUAAUGGUAAUGAUGAUGAUGUGUAUAUAUAUGUAUAUAUGAUAUAUAUACAUAUAUAUAUACUCACACAUACACACACAUACACACACACACACACAUAUAUAUAUAUAUGCAUAUAUGUAUAUAUAUAUAUAAUGAAUUCUUGAUGAGUUCCUAAUGCCAAAUAUAACACAUAUUGUGAUUAUUA